UUGACGGCGACGGCGGAGAGAAGGGCGGGCGGAUCUAGUGAAGUGUCUGUGUAAAUGUGGAGGAUGAAGCAUACGGCCUUCCCUGCAGCCAGGGUAGAUCACAGCCACCACUAAUCAAGGGCAUUAUGCUUGUCUUUUUAAAAGCUAGUUGGAAGGUAAGUGGGGAAAGCCCCAUCCAAUACAAGGCUUUGACUCUGCCUUGCUAACAUCAGAAGAGGAUUUACUGGGAAUGCUAAGAUGUUAUACCAUUCACUACAUUCCCUGUCCAAUGCAAUGCACAAAUUGUAUUACUGGAGGUUGAUGCAAUAACCUUUUAUUAACAAUCUAUGAGCUCUAUGAGCCAUUUGCUAGCUCACAGAAAAAAGAAAUUGCACUAUCACCUGAGUUCAUGAGAUUGCUUUUUUUUUUUGUUUAUUUGGGUUUUUUUGUUUGUUUUUGUUUUAAUCUGCACAAUGGAUCAAAGAUCUAGCCUGUAACAACUAGUUUAAUUACAAAUAUACAAAAUCAGGAAAGGUUAAGACAUAGUGUUCAAUGCUACCACAUAGCACAAAGACUUCUCUACAUUCUGAAUCAUUGCUAAAAUGGCAGCAUCUGACAAACAUGCAUAUAAUUUGGGUUUUGUCUCAGGGAAAGUAUCUAAUAUUGGGUGUUAGCGGCUGAAGUCACAAAUCCUGUGUAACAGUGUGCUCGUAAAUGGCAAAGCAGUAGGUUUAGAGUACAUCUGCUUUAUCAUGUUCUUUAACCAUAUCAAUGAUAUGGAAACAGGCAGAUUUAAAUCACACAAUUAUUAACAGUUACUAUCCUUAGCUGUCUAGUCUUACAUCUCUUCACAAAAAGGGAAUCACAAAAGCUGUUUUUUCCACAAAUGGCUAAACUUCUUCUAGUGUCUGUCCUUAAUUUAAAUAGUUCAUAGUCUGAAAUUUUAGGAUUAUCAGAAAUUGGUGUUGUCUAGCUGAAUAGUUUGUACUUACCCUAUUAGUAAGUGGUACUUCAGUAAAAUUCACUUUUAAUAACCAUUUGGAGAUAGACAGUUUUCAAAGGCUUUUUGUUAAAUUUCUAACCAAAAUGCAAGAAUCUUCUUAGAGAGUACAUUUUUAAAAUGUGAUUUAGACUGUAUCUUGAACAUUUGCUUGUUAUUAAAGACUUCAGGCAAUAUCCUAAGAAUCUUAACCUUCUUCUUUCAGAGAGAAAAGGAAGCAAAAAUGUGUCAAAUCUAGAAAAUGGUUUUUGACAUGGCAAGUUAUAACAUAGAUGAUCCUGAAUAUUACAGUAGCCAUUUCUGAAGGUGACAGAGGCAGGAAGAAGACCUCCAUGGACAGCAGCCAUUGUGUCCUAAAAAAAGGAAAAUGCAUCCUUGAGACAAAAGUCCAUUUAUUCAACAUUCACUAUGAAAUGCCAUUUUUCAAAUACACCACCUACAUGGGUGUGUGGCUUAGACAGACAAAAAGGAAUAGGUUGAAGAACUUGCAGACAAGACAAAAAAACAAGGCAAUCUCAAAUCAUCCUUUUAAUAUGUUUUUUUCUGCCCUGAACUGUUACUUUAGGUUAUAUGUGGACUUGUUCUUUUCACUGUGUCAGCUAGAACAAGUAGUAAGAAGGUAGUCCCUGUGGCUGAUGCUAUACAUAUUCCUGGGGCUGUCUUUAAUGAAUGUAACCCUUGCAUUCUCUUCUUUCUGCAGGCUGUUGUGUUGGGCACUGGACAGGCUCCUCAGAGCAGUAGUCACAGCUCCAAGGCUGCCAGAGCUCCAGGAGCGUUUGGACAAUGCUCCCAGGCAGGGAUUGUAGGGGUGUCUGUGCAGGGCCAGUAGUUGGACUUGAUGAUCCCAGUGGGUCUCCCCCACCUCAGGAGGUUCUCUGAUUCUGUGUGCACUCGAGCUGCUGAGCAUGACGCUAAAUGUAUUAGAGGUUCCCUGGUUUCUAACCUGCCGGGUGGGUGGUGGGGUUGCUUCUGGUUGAAUUGCUAAACAGUAGGUCUGCCCCAUAUAGGUUUAUGAGCAAGGGAAACUGGGAUGUGAAGAAAAGCAGCGUUCAUGUUCAACUGUCUAUGGUAAACGGUAAACAUUACACAAGAAAGAUUUCUGAAAGUGGACUGUAAACUAGAAAGUUGUCCUCAGAAAAUAAAUCCAAAUCACAGUUCAUGGCUUAAACAAAUCUGGUAAAUGUGGUGUCUGUAAAGGUCUCGUGAUCUCUAUCCAAACUGUAAGAUAAACAAUGGUGAUAUUAAAAAAAAAAAAAAAACACAUUGCAAAGACAAGAGAACAGAUUUAGCCCUAAAGAAAAAUUUAGAACAGAUUAAGCCCUAAAGAAACUACUGUAAUACUGACAGUGAGAAACAUGGCAUAACUCUUAUAGAAAUAAAUAAUUCAUUGAAAUAUAUAUUUAGACUUUACAAUGCAGGCACUUUGAACUUAGUAAUUUUUUAAGGCAAGGUUAAAGUAACUGCUUUUAAAUGUUUUGGUACGGGAAAUUAACUUAAAACCUAAUUUUGAUAUGGGAAGCUUUUUGAAACUAAAAUACUUUUUAAUUUUAUUAAAAUCAAGCUGAAAUAAUUUUGGCCUAUAUGGAUCCCAGUUUUAUGAGAUAAAAUACUGUGGUGCACACCCAUAUUAAAAAGGUUUCCCUUCCCUCUUUUUGAUUUACUUUAUAAAUCUAUACUUCUUUAAUAUGCAUCUAAAAACAUUGUCCAUUGUUCCUGAGAAUUAUUUUUUAAGCAUAAAUAGAUUUACUUUAUCAUGUUACCAAUUUAUUUUCAUCAAGAAGCUUCUUUGUAUCUUCUGAAUCACAUCAGUAUAAAGUAAAAGGCAAUUGAACCACAUUAACAGAUUAAUUUUGUACAUAUUGUUAUACCUUGGGUAGAUGGAUCAAGUGUACCUGUACCUUCUUUUGAAAUUUCGGGUUUUGGCUAAACUUCUAUUUUGGAAGCUAAAAGAAUGUGUGCUUAAAAUUACAGAAAUCAUUAGAAUUGUUAAAAAUUAUUCAGCUUCAUUUAAUAAAGGUGAUGAGUUCUUUUUUUUUCUAUAAUUACUAUUUCUGGAAUUCUAAUACUAUAGAAAAUGUCAAUGUUUUAAUAUCUUUCUUUACUUCUUUUCUUCUUCCCAUGUUCCAAGUCAGGAAGAAGACUAAAGCUCUGUGAAGCACAAAAUUGUACUUCUAGUACUGUUUUAUUCACCAGGGAGCUCUUACUGCUCAUUUUAAAGAACACUGAUCAGAAUGCUUCUAUUGGUGCCGCCUAUGUUACACAAACUGCGAGACUGAACACGCACAGAGUUUCUGGAAAGGAACGCCAAAUACCAGACUUGUAUUUCAGAGUUAUAGAUCGAAAACAGGCCAUGAAGAAAUACAGACACCUAAGGAUUCAGUCUGGAAUGAAAUGCAUGCUUCUUCCCAGAAGGACAGUUGACCAGAACUCCAUAUGCUGUAUUAUAAAGAGAACCUAAUUUCACUGUAUCUUGUGUGAUUCCCAUAUUCUGACUAGACAUCUGCUGUUAGCUUGUAUUGGGUUUACAUGGCAAGGAUUUGGUAGUGGGAAAGCUGCAGGGGUGGCUUCUGUGAAAAAACUUGGGAGUUUCCCUCUUGUCCAAUAGAGUCAGUUCCAGCUAUCUCCAAGACAGACCUACUGCUGCCUAAAGCUGAGCCCAUCAGCAAUGUUGGUUGGGCCUCUGUGAUAAAAUGUAAGAAAGUGUAAAACCACUGUGGAGCAGCUGGGUGAAAGUGGAGUCAGAAAAAUGUGUAAUAAUCCUGCAGACAACCAAGGUCAGUGAAGGAGGGAGAGGAGGUGCUCCACACACCAGAGCAGAGAUUUGCCUGCUCUGCAGAGGAAGACCAUGGUGAUGUGUGUUGAGGCCCUGUGACCUAUGGAGGACUCCACACCAGGACAGUCUACUGGCAGAAACUGUGGUCCAGGGAGAGGUGACAGGAGCUGGUUUUCUAGCAGGAUCAUGGCCUGGGCAGGAGGGGAACAGGGGGACGAUACCCACACUGUAACAAUCUCUUCCUGAAGAACCGUACCCCAUGGAAAGAGCCCAUGCUGAAGAGAGAAGC